rnacentral:rRNA from 1 species
GCCAACGGCUUUGUCGCGUUGAAAACACCAGUUCCCAUCCGAACACUGAAGUUAAACAACGUCGAGCGUGGCUGGCA